AUUGAACGCUGGCGGCAGGCCUAACACAUGCAAGUCGAACGAGUGGCGGACGGGUGAGUAAUGUCUGGGAAACUGCCUGAUGGAGGGGGAUAACUACUGGAAACGGUAGCUAAUACCGCAUACCAUCGGAUGUGCCCAGAUGGGAUUAGCUAGUAGGUGGGGUAAAGUCUCACCUAGGCGACGAUCCCUAGCUGGUCUGAGAGGAUGACCAGCCACACUGGAACUGAUCCACGGUCCAGACUCCGACGGGAGGCAGCAGUGGGGAAUAUUGCACAAUGGUCGCAAGCCUGAUGCAGCCAUGCCGCGUGUGUGAAGAAGGCCUUCGGGUUGUAAAGCUCUUUCGGCGAUAAGGCGUUACUCCCAGAGGAAGCACCGGCUCACUCCGUGCCAGCCGCCGCGGUAAUUC
rnacentral:rRNA from 1 species